UACGAAGGGGGCUAGCGUUGUUCGGAAUCACUGGGCGUAAAGGGUGCGUAGGCGGGUCUUUAAGUCAGGGGUGAAAUCCUGGAGCUCAACUCCAGAACUGCCUUUGAUACUGAGGAUCUUGAGUUCGGGAGAGGUGAGUGGAACUGCGAGUGUAGAGGUGAAAUUCGUAGAUAUUCGCAAGGACACCAGUGGCGAAGGCGGCUCACUGGAUCGGUACUGACGCUGAGGUGCGAAAGCGUGGGGAGCAAACAGG
rnacentral:rRNA from 1 species